rnacentral:rRNA from 1 species
GCCCACGACACCUUGCUUAGCCACACCCUCAAGGGUAUUCAGCAGGGAUAGACCUUAAGCCAUAAGUGAAAACUUGACUUAGUCAAAGCUAAGAGGGCCGGUAAAACUCGUGCCAGCCACCGCGGUUAUACGAGAGACCCAAGUUGAUAGACCCGGCGUAAAGAGUGGUUAAGGAAAAACUAAAACUAAAGCCGAACAUCUUCAAUACUGUUAUACGCACCCGAAGAUAAGAAGUCCAACUACGAAAGUGGCUUU